GUACUAUAAUGAUCUGGGAGUAGAAGAAGACGCUCUACACUGAGGGUAUGAAUCAUUUGUUGUCACGCCGGUCACCGUACUGCUGGAGAGCGGAGAUGAUGAGCAAGAAGCAAACCACCAAAGGCAACGCUCAUUAUCUAGAAGGUAGAUGACAACGUUUUGUGGUUGUUGGACGUCAUAUAAUUAUGCCAUUUUACACUAUGAAACGACUGAGAAGCCUGCUGCUCUUUUAAUCAACUAUCUUGCUGAGUGACCACUACCGAGGCCUGACGUAUAAAAAGAUGAAUAUGGGAUGGGAAUAUCAUGGAAUAUUGAAAUUGCUACAUAUUAUGCACGAUAGCUCAAUAAAUGUUUGGAUAGGCCUAUCUUCCAAAUUUUAAUAAUGGACUAGGCUUCUAGAAUCGAUUCUUAAGAAUAUUUAUCAGAUUGUGAAGUUUUCCAACUCUGAUUCGUUAUCUAACAAUGCUUUGGAUUUGGCUUCAACUUAGAUCUGGUACUUGUCCAUGCAGUUCUUCGGUUCACUUUUCUUCCUGGGCAUCGACUUACUCUGUUGAGACCUAUUACUGGUGUGAUGCACUCGUUUCUAGGUUUAAUUAUAUGACAAGUUUCACGUAUCAUGCUUCCUUCGAACUUGUAGAUUGUUGAUUUUAUGUGCAGGUAAUAAGGAUAGAAAGAGUGGCAUUUUAUAGGUAUGCACUUUCAUCUUUAUAUUCUUGAAUCUUUUGUGGAUGAAAAAUUGAUAGCCCUUUCAUCUUUGAAUCUUUUUGCUGAUGAGAAUCGAAAGCAAAUCUUAUUUUGGAAGGAGCCUUAAUCCUGGCCAUGUGCACUGUUUUCCUUGUUUGCCUUUAUUGAAUUGACACUGCAAGUUUGUGAAGAAUUGAUUCUCGUACUUGCUUGGUUCUUUCAAAUCUUGGUUACAUGUGCACCACCUCUUUUUUUAUUUAGUUAAGCGUUUGAACCUUUGUUUGCUGCUUCAUCAACAACCAUCCCUUUAAUGUACAUUACUAGUCCCUGAUUUUGUAGGAAUGAACAUGGUUGGCUCUAAAGAAUUUUUAAAGCAAAUUUAGUACUGAAAAUCACAUUUUUUGUACAUGAGACUAGUUUUCAGUUCAAAAUGUCUCCCAGUGAUGAAGGGCGCUUUUGACGUUGUACCAAAAUAGUACUAAAUAGGAUAUUUUUUUUGAGUUUUCCAGCCAAGUACCUAAAUAUUUCGUA